rnacentral:lncRNA from 1 species
AUGUUUCAGUCACGGUACAGAGAAGAUGAGCAAGAGAGGGUCUGGAAGGAACCAAGAGCUUUGGAGAGGAGACCCGGUCCCUCACAAGGAUUCGUCUCAGACCUCUUGGUCUACCAAGAGCUACACAGCCUGGCUGCCAGUGGUGAAUGUGCUUGCCAACGACACAAGCUAGGCCGGCGGUUUGCAGUGAUGCAGUACUGCGGAUAGAACCUAAAACAUUCAGCCCCUUUUAUAUUUUGAGAAAAGGUCUCACUGUCACUAAAAUGCCCAGGCUCAGCUUGCCUUUAUAACCCUCUUGCUUCAGCCUCCCAGAGUGCUGGGACUACAGGUGUGUGCCACUGUACCCGGGUGACCUGGAGCACUAGGCACAGUACAGAGGGCAUUAACAAAACUAAACAGUAAAACAUUUCGAAUUUAGUGCACUUUUGAACUCUCAUUAAAAAAAAAAAAGAAUGGAGGAAAAGCAUUAUCUGAGGAAGAAACAAGUAGAAAGUUUCCAGAACUGACAUAAAGAAAAUAGCAAGAUUUUAAGGCAUUUUUAAAGACAAACUAUUGUUACAGUUCUCAGUGAGUGUGAUUGUGUAGAAUUUCUGCUCUUCAUAAUAUUUGGCAUGUUCAGGAAAUAAUGUAUGUUACCUGGUAAAUUUCAGUGUUACUUAUUCAUUUAAUAAAAAGUUUUUGGGUGUCACUACAGUCCAAGCUGGUCUGGAUCCCACUGUGUAAUCCAGGCUGGCCUUGAACUCUUUAAAAGAUCCUCCUGCCUCAGUCUUUUAGAAUACUGGGACUGAUGGUGUUCAUCACCACACCCAGCUCAGCAAAUAGUCUUGAAAGCCUCUGUAGCGUUUGUAUUGGAGGUAUUGGGAAGAGCAACGAGCAAAGCAUUAAAAACAUCCCAGCCAUCAGCGAGCUUACACUGUAGUGUAAGGAAGCAAUGAAAAGGUACCAUUUGUCAGAGGCUGUGUGGAGAAACAAGACAGGGAAAUGAGACCAGGGCAAGGGCGGCAGGUUGGUGGAGUAUGCAGAGGUUUGACCCCAGGACCUCCCACCUCUGGGCCUAUGCUCUUUCCCUGGGCCUCAUCCCUCCCAGUCCGUGAUUUUAGAUAGGAUGCUUAGGAAAGGCCACCCAGAGAAGGUGAUUUUAUCUUAAUCAGCCUGACUUGCCCCUGUGCCAAAGUAGUC